CCUACGGGGCGCAGCAGUGGGGAAUAUUGCACAAUGGGGGAAACCCUGAUGCAGCAACGCCGCGUGAGUGAGGAAGUAUUUCGGUAUGUAAAGCUCUAUCAGCAGGGAAUAGAAAAGAAGGUACCUGAAAAAGAAGCCCCGGCUAACCACGUGCCAGCAGCCGCGGUAAUACGUAGGGGGCAAGCGUUAUCCGGAUUUAUUGGGUUUAAAGGGUGCGCAGGCGGCCUGUUAAGUCAGCGGUAAAAGCCCGGGGCUCAACCCCGGCGAUCCG
rnacentral:rRNA from 1 species